UAUGUGAUCGUCUCUCGCAUAUCAAUAAGCGGAGGAAAAGAAACUAACAAGGAUUCCCCUAGUAACGGCGAGUGAAGCGGGAAGAGCUCAAAUUUGAAAUCUUAAAGGGUUUCCCUUUACGAAUUGUAGUUUAAAGAAGUGUUUUCUGUUGAGGUUUUGGUAAAAGUUCUUUGGAAUAGGACAUCAUAGAGGGUGAGAAUCCCGUAUUUGACCUUUACUUUCAACUUUGUGAUACACUUUCAAAGAGUCGGAUUGUUUGGGAAUGCAGUCCAAAAUGGGUGGUAAAUUUCAUCUAAAGCUAAAUAUUGGCGAGAGACCGAUAGCGAACAAGUACCGUGAGGGAAAGAUGAAAAGGACUUUGAAAAGAGAGUUAAACAGUACGUGAAAUUGUCAAAAGGGAAGCGUUUGACACCAGUGUUGUUUUUCUGAAAAUCAAUUAAAGAACUGUUUAUGCUAAGCUGUUUAGACUUUAUCAGCUAUCUGUUUAGUUUUGAGCUUUUCUUUAAUGCACUUUUCAGUUAACAAGUCAACAUCAAUUUCUUUUGCUGUAAAAAAGCUUGAGGAAGGUGGCUUGAGAUUCGUCUUAAGUGUUUAUAGCCUCUUGCCUAUGCAGUCGGAGAGAUUGAGGUCUGCAGCGUAGAUCCUUCGGGGCUAAAUGCAUUUGUGCUAAGUUAUAGCAUUUUAUAGACAACUUGUUGACUAUGAUUUGUCUUGUAGCUUACUCGCUUAUGUUAUUUUACCUACGCUUAGGAUGUUGAGUAGCGACAUACGCAC
rnacentral:rRNA from 1 species